rnacentral:tmRNA from 1 species
GGGGUUGACUGGAUUUGACAGCGGGAUGAAAUGGUAUGUAAGCAUGCGGAGUGACGACUGUUGACUCCAUAAUCACAUCGGUCAAAAAUUUAUCUGGCGAAAACAACUAUGCUCUCGCUGCCUAAUCGAAGUACAGUAGAUUCUGGCUUUAUCCCACUACAAGGUAGAGGGACGAGACAUCGCUCAAAGGCUGUUGUUCCGAAGUUCUUUGGUCAAGCGGUGCAGUUAAAUCGGGAAUAGUCACGUCGCGCCUCGGCUGCGUGAUGAAGAUUUAGAGGAUAAGGCUGCGAUUGGUGGUCCGGGUCUUGUUGCAGCAUGAAAACCGAAGGCCGGAAUAAGCAUGUAGAAAGCGUAUGGUUUCCCUGUUUGGACGAGGGUUCGACUCCCUCCAGCUCCAC